CUCAAAGUGUUUCUUCAAUCAUGUUUAUGGACAUUAUCUGCACGAUGACACAGCAGCGCUGACUGGAAUCUCUAGCACGUGAUUACAGAGGGCCCUGUUACAUCACAGAAUGUUUCAACAGCUCCUCCAGAGAGGCGAUGGCACAGUGCGACUGUCACCUGGGGACCCAGUUACAAAAUAAACGAGAGCAGAUGAUGGAAUUGGAAAUAAAUCAAAAUCUGGAAUUAAAUAUUUAAUGUGGUCAUUGUCAAUUGUUGUAAAAACUCAUGGUAACAUACUUGAGAAAGACAACAGCAGCCCUUAGUUGCUGCAGAGUGAUACAAACAGUGUGGCUGAGCUUCCUCGACCAUCCCCCCAGCCUGAGAUGCGGUCACCCUCGGGAUCAGCUCACUACCAGUCAUCUCUCUCCAUUCCAUGUUUGAGGAUUUCCAAUUGGGUCCCUGCCUCUUAUCAACGACAAGAAAAACUUUCCUCAUUCCUGAAGAAGGGCUCAUGCCCGAAACGUCGAUUCUCCUGCUCCUUGGAUGCUGCCUGACCUGCUGUGCUUUUCCAGCAACACAUUUUCAGCACUUAUCAACAACACAGAUUACCGACAGAGGCAAGGAAAGAUACUCUCAUUCCUCCCCUCCCUUGGUGUUCCAGUCUCCUCACAAUAAACGAUGAAACCACCUGAUGAAGGAGCAGCGCUCUGAAAGCUAAUGCUUCCAAAUAAACCUGUUGGACUAUAACUUGAUGUUGUGUGAUUUUUAACUUUGUCCACCCCAGUCCAACACCGGCUCCUCCACAUCAUGACAAUGAAUCGUCGCAUUCUAUUGGGGAUGGUAAUUAUUCGCUGUACCUGCACACUAACCAUCUACAAUUCCUCUGCAUCCACAGCUCAUGUUAUUUCCUCAAAGGACUCCAGUAUUUUGCAAGGUUUGUGAAGGUUUGUAGCUCAGGUUGAGGUUUA